UACGUAGGGCGCAAGCGUUAUCCGGAAUUAUUGGGCGUAAAGAGCUCGUAGGCGGUUUGUCGCGUCUGCCGUGAAAGUCCGGGGCUCACUCCGAUCUGCGGUGGGUACGGGCAGACUAGAGUGAUGUAGGGGAGACUGGAAUUCCUGGUGUAGCGGUGAAAUGCGCAGAUAUCAGGAGGAACACCGAUGGCGAAGGCAGGUCUCUGGGCAUUAACUGACGCUGAGGAGCGAAAGCAUGGGGAGCGAACAGG
rnacentral:rRNA from 1 species